rnacentral:rRNA from 1 species
AGUGAACGCUGGCGGUAGGCCUAACACAUGCAAGUCGAACGGCAGCACAGGAGAGCUUGCUCUCUGGGUGGCGAGUGGCGGACGGGUGAGGAAUACAUCGGAAUCUACUUUUUCGUGGGGGACAACGUAGGGAAACUUACGCUAAUACCGCAUACGACCUACGGGUGAAAGCAGGGGACCUUCGGGCCUUGCGCGAUUGAAUGAGCCGAUGUCGGACUAGCUAGUUGGCGGGGUAAAGGCCCACCAAGGCGACGAUCCGUAGCUGGUCUGAGAGGAUGAUCAGCCACACUGGAACGGAGACACGGUCCAGACUCCUACGGGAGGCAGCAGUGGGGAAUAUUGGACAAUGGGCGCAAGCCUGAUCCAGCCGUACCGCGUGGGUGAAGAAGGCCUUCGGGUUGUAAAGCCCUUUUGUUGGGAAAGAAAUCCAGCUGGCUAAUACCCGGUUGGGAUGACGGUACCUAAAGAAUAAGCACCGGCUAACUUCGUGCCAGCCGCCGCCGUAA